GACGAACGCUGGCGGCGUGCUUAACACAUGCAAGUCGAACGGGAUGAUUUAGAAGCUUGCUUUUAGAGAAUCUAGUGGCAAACGGGUGAGUAACACGUAGACAACCUGCCGACAGGAUGGGGACAACAUUCCGAAAGGAAUGCUAAUACCGAAUGAAGCGGAGGAGAGGCAUCUCUCUUCCGUGAAAGAUGGCCUCUGAACAUGCUAUCACCUGUCGAUGGGUCUGCGUCUGAUUAGCUAGUUGGUGAGGUAACGGCUCACCAAGGCGACGAUCAGUAGCCGGUCUGAGAGGAUGAACGGCCACAUUGGGACUGAGACACGGCCCAGACUCCUACGGGAGGCAGCAGUGGGGAAUCUUCCGCAAUGGGCGCAAGCCUGACGGAGCAACGCCGCGUGAGUGAAGAAGGUCUUCGGAUCGUAAAGCUCUGUUGAUGGGGACGAACGUGCGAAGGGUGAAUAAUCCUUUGCAAUGACGGUACCUAUCGAGGAAGCC
rnacentral:rRNA from 1 species